AUUCUUUAGCUCAUAUUAUUUAUAUAAUCUGAAGAAUCCUCGAUGCUUCGAAUAAGAGAGAACUUUUUUGUAUGAUAGAUUAACUGAAACUAACAAAAAAUAUUUAGAUUGCUAGUUGAUUGUCCCGAAUCACAGGUGUAUGAAGUUCUGAAACUAGCCACAAAUUCACUAGUCACUACAGAUUAUAACCAUUAGUUGUUAAAGAUUAUCUCUGAUCACUAUUAGAACAUGAUGGAUUUAUCUAUAUGAUGUUAGAAAUAGUGAAUCUGUGCUUUUUCAUUUUCUUUCUGAAAUGGAAUCGGAGCAAAUAAGUAUGAAUUUUUUAGUUGGACAUUUUUUGAAUCCUUUGGAAAAGCUGAUUAUCUUCAACGUGUAAGGGUAGCACUAAUUCAUUUAUUCUUGUGGAAAUAUCACUCGUCACCAACUCUACUCAUAAAAGUGUUGUAACACCGUCAAAUGUCAGCUACACGGAUCUUUUCUUCCACUCUGAUCUACCUUACCUGGCCCAGUCAUUAACCUUGCCAAAUCACUAGCUAGAGGGUCAAUGGUUCGAUUGGUGGGUCACAGUUUCAAGCAGUGGUCAUUGUCAAAUUAGAAGUUGUAAAUAAAAAAUAUUUUUUAAAUAAAAUAUGAGAAAAAAUAUAACUUAUGUUUAAAAGUUAAAAGUGUACAAGUUAACUAUAAAUAUUAUAAAGUAGCAUAGUAAUUGAAACUAUAAAAAUCUCAAGUAUUCUUUUUAUUGUUUUAAAUUUUACUUUAAAAGAUAGAUCAGAAUGUAUCUAUAUACCUCUUUGCGUGUCUAGUGGUGGAUUCAAAAUUUUGAAUGAGCACGGACGACCGUUAAUUGUUGACCGUCAGUUGUAAUAAAAUAUUAAAAAUUAAAUAUAAUAAUUAUUUUUCUAAAAUUGAACAUAUAUAAUUUUGUUAUAUAAAAUAACAAUAUUCACCAAAAGACAUAGUGGCCAUGUUUUGUAUAAUUCAAAGGAAGAUCAAAGGUUUGAAUAGUUGCAAUUUGGAUUAAAACCAACAAAUGGAAUAUAUAUUACUCUGUUAAAUUUAGUAUUGCAAUUUAACAAGCGCCUUGAUGGUCAAGCUUUUGAUAAUUUUAAAGAAGGGUCACAGGUUCGAAUCUCCUCCUUAUUCCAUUAGUUUUGGCAAAAAUUGUAGAAAUAGAAAAUUUGCACAAUAAUCUGGUUGGAAGGAUAUUCAAACCCUGGACAUUCAAUUUGUACGUGAAAGCUCUAACCAAUUUGAGCUACAAGACAUAUUUGGAUAGAAAAUGAAUUAUCAGAUAUAUGGCCUAAACCUUUUAUCUACUAUUAACCAAAUAUAUAAUAAUAAUAAUAAUAAUAAUAAUAAUAAUAAUAAUAAUAAUAAUAA
rnacentral:lncRNA from 1 species